AGACGAGGGCAGAGCUGGUCCAUUCUAGACAUCACAGUUGAUUAAGGGCCUCGAAGCCCUGGAGGUAAGAAAGACAAAGCAGAAUCAACGUUGGACAAGCAGGCCUCAUGCAGGAGGAAGAAAGGCUUUCCUCGACACCCCAGCAACAGCCCAGCCAAUGAGAGACAAUGACGACCCGACCAAUGAGAAGCCACCAUACUUCCAGCUUCCAGUUUCCUCCAAUGGACUCUUUGUUUCUAACAGCCCUGUGGGCGGUCCUCCUAUCUUCUAUAAAGGGGCUGUCACCUCCUUUGUUCUCCA